rnacentral:rRNA from 1 species
UACGUAGGUCCCGGGCGUUGUCCGGAUUUAUUGGGCGUAAAGCGAGCGCAGGUGGUUUAUUAAGUUUGGUGUAAAAGGCAGUUGCUCAACCAUUGUAUGCAUUGGAAACUGGUAGACUUGAGUGCAGGAGAGGAGAGUGGAAUUCCAUGUGUAGCGGUGAAAUGCGUAGAUAUAUGGAGGAACACCGGUGGCGAAAGCGGCUCUCUGGCCUGUAACUGACACUGAGGCUCGAAAGCGUGGGGAGCAAACAGG